GGUUGGCUCCUGUCAUGCCUGCUGCUUCUCCCAGCGCAGUCCCAGUAACAAGGGAAAGGUCAGAAUGGCUGCACUUGUCCUAACCUGGCCUUGGAAGAGCUGCUUGAAGCUCCUUGCUGAUGCUCAUAAGUAAAUACAGCUCUGAGGAGGAAAAGGACAGGAACGCUGCCCGCAGACCUGAGGCUGCUGCUGUGUGGGAGCUGUGCCAGGCAUGCUAUGGGCACCAGGAAAACCCAGGGAGGGAUGUUCAUCAGCUCUGGGGAACAUCAAACCUUUGGAUGAGCACAAGUCUUCAAAUGAUGCUGAGGGCAGAGGAAGAGACAAGCGUUUGGUCCAUGUAAAUAAAUCAACACCAAGAAAGACAUAAUGAAGAAAAAAGGGUGAGAGAAGUGUAGAAACAGGCGGAACGGGCUGAGAAUGGUGAUGGUGAGCGGGAGGAAAGCAGCUCUCGGGGCAAUGACGGCGGGCGUUUGUGGAGCUGGGGACGACGAAUCACGGUGGAACGAUGAAGAAUCUUUUAAUCAGCGCCGCAAUGCAGCCUGCACCCCCUGGGCCAGAGGAGCCACGGGGAAAACUUUCUCUUUGCAGGGGCAAAUUGUUCCCUUGUGUUGAACCUUUAAUUUUGACAAGAAAACACAUAGGCUGUAAUACCAAAAGAAAGUCAUAUCAAAGAAUAAUUCUUUCACUUUUCCUUAAAAGGUCGGGUUGCAAAUAGGCCUGGGCCUAUUAUUCCUGCUGAAGAGGUUGGAAAAAUUAAUGCUUUAAAACCAACUUUACCUUCAGUGCACAAUAUCCAAAAGCAAUAUGUAAAUGAGUAUGCAAAUUGCUUAAGUGAAGAAGGCAACAAUAUAAAGUUAAAUUUGACCUGGCUGUCAUUUGUUACGAGUGAAGGGCAACAUUAUUAAUACACCAUCAAAUGUAAAUGGUAGUAAUAUUUAUUCAUUGUGUUCUUACUUCUAAACCACCUCCUGUACCAGGUCUUUAGCUCUGAAUUAUCUCAGACUGUAAUCAUUUCUACAGAGCACAGUAAACCACUCGGACUGUAAUUAGUGUUGUAACUGCUGCCUUGGAAAUGUGACAGCAAUAAGAACUGUUGCUGCUUUUAAAACAGAUCGGGAAAAAUGAUCUGAUCUACUCCAAUCAGUUCUGCUCUUAGUGAUUUCUGAGCACCUUGUGAAUCAGGAGAUAAUUCCAAGUAUGCUGUCACGUAUCCUGUUGUAUGGCUUGUUAGCCACAGAGAGCUUGUGGUAGUAAUAGUAAUAAUCCUGGCAUGUCAUUAAACAAUGACAAAUGGGGAAAAAAAAAGGAACAAAACCCAAAUUAAAGAUGGAGACAGAUGUCUGGAGCCUAAAUUCCAAGUCAUGUUUUCGGGACCUGUUCUUCCUCCUGAAAGCAAGUUCGGAAACGCUGGACAUUUCUAUGAAGCAGAAAUCCUGACCUCUAAUUAGGAGCUGAGGUAGCUGCGAGAUUCAGUCAGGCUGUUCACUUUGCUACAAGGCAUGCCAAGCGUCUGCAAGAAGCUGUGUCACCCUUUGGUGUGACAGCCAGCUGUGCUGGGGAGCAGGGCUGUGCCAUUUGCAACGUCCCACCAUGACCCUACUUGGUGCACUGUCCCUGCACGGGGCUCAGCUGGGGCAGCAGGUCGGGUUUGGGCUCAAACCAGUCUCUCACUGCUGACUGCCUUCUCGCUGCCCUCCUGCACAGCAGCAAGGCUUGGUAUGCUAAAGUGGCCAUAAGUGUGCUGCUUAUGCACAGGACAAUGAGCAGCAGAUGCCCAUUGAUAACGGUAGUGCUGAUGUGGAGGCUGUGUUGGAAAUUCGUCUCGAGUUGCUGAAGAUGCAGAAAAACGUAUGUUUCUUAUUUGAAUGAGUUUUACCUUUUUAUCUAGAGACGGUGUAGAGCUGAGGAGUCUCUCAAAAAUGCCAGGAGCCUGAACAGCACCACAAAUAGAAUCCUGAAUCAAAUGUAAAUUAAGCUUUCUGCUGCGUUUCUGCAAUGAUCCAUCCAAAGAAGAGCAGAAGCUAAAAACUAUAAUAACAAUGGGAUAAAUUAUACAGUCCCACAAUUUUCCUAGCGCUGCUGUUAGCGUAACACGGGAUUGAUGUUGUAUCUAUUUUUAUUUUUUGCUGCUGGAACAGUCUUUGUCAAAGCAAGGAGGCACACGGAUUUCAGUAUCUAAUGUAUUUUGUGGAGUGCUGCUUUCAUCUGACCUUUUCAGCAUUUCUCAUUUCCGUGGGCUGGUCACCCUGCUCCUUUGCAACAGGUUGGACUCCCCUUUUAAUAGGAAAAGGAGGAGCGCAAUGGUCAACCACUCAAAGUACUGAAUACUAAAAAGGUCAGCAGAGCAUGGCACAGCACUGUGAAAAUGAGACAAUGCAAUCCCAGGUACCUCACUGCGGUAACAAAAAUUGUUGCAAGAAGAGAAAAUGUCACAACGCAAAUCUGUUUCUGGGGAGGUACAGGGCCUGGUGUGGCAUGCAUCUGUCCUGGCUGCAAAGUUAUGACCGUGUUUGUGCAGACUGCACAAAAUCUUGAGCAAAAUGACGUUGCAUGUGCGCCAGUCAAAGCUAUUUCCUUGUGAUCAAGUUAUAACUGUGUAAGUUAUGCUGGGAAACAUGGGAAACACACAAAUUAUGGAUAGUUCUGCAUGUCCUUUUCUCCGUGCGCUGCCUUGGGAAUGGCUUUUUCCCGAAUCUCAGAGACCGAUCUGCUUAAUGGCUCAUCCUGCUCCUGCUUUCAGGAACAUGCCCACUACGAGCAGCUCUGCGGAGGUCCUGGUCCUGGACCUGCCCUCUGGAACAAGGGGCCAUGGGGCCUGGCAGCCUCCAUUGGAAGAGGUGCCCACCUGCUCCAGAACGGUCUGGGCAGUGCACCUCCUUGACCUCACCUGAUGGGCACGUGGUAUUCUUCAGCGUGCUGCCUUCCUUGCUUGGAAUUCGUUUUUUCUGUGCUACUAUUCACCAGGUCUUCAUUUUCCAUUUAAAACAUUUGAGAACCAAAAUGGUAUUUAUAAAAAUCCACUUGAAAAAUUUGUCGGGCUGACUGUAAAUGCACCAAGAGCAUUUUGUGUGUUUCCAGGGCCAGAAAGAAGCUCUAUGGUAACUGUUUAUUUUGCCUUGGAAGGAUAAGUCAGUAUGUGAUAAACAUAGAUCCAAGGUGCCUGACUGGCUGCACCCUUGCUUGCAAAUGGAAGCCCAUAGCUACAAGGGAUUGCUAUUUUGAAAACCCAAGCCCCAGAAUUAACAUAAAUAAGCUACAAUUGAAAAUGGGAUUUUUUUCCCACCUGAGGCAGGAAGAAUUAACUUGCAGGAAUCCUAUCUGGCAACAAAAGCACUUCUCCUUUGUGUUCUCAGAGAAAGAAGUAGCAUUACAAACAAGUUAGAGGGAGGCGUCCCAGCCGUGUGGUUUUAUUAUGACGUAAUGGGAUUGCGCUGUCGGGCUGUGACAGACCCAGCACUUUUUCCAGCACACUUAAAUCUUGGCUGCUUGUAUUUUCACUCGGGCAGUUACAGCUUCCAGCCAUCCUUGAUGGAGGUCGUAUCUUGCCAUCAUUUGCAUGCUCAACUCCUACCGUCACCACCGAGGCCUGAGUAAAAUGGAAUGGUGCAGGCAGCCCCAAAUUUGGCCUAACAACUUGGCAAACCGGCGUAAUCACAGCUCAAUUCACGCUUCUGAGCAAGUGCCAUACGCAGCUGCCUCUUAAAAGCAAACAAAACAUCCCAGCAGCACGAGGUGCCUCCUGCUCCCACCCCUGGAGCAAACGUGUGGGCACGGGCCCAGCCUGAGCAGCACGCGGUGCUAACAGCGCGCUUCGGUAAUGCGCUCGCUGGGCACGCAGAGUGACUUGGCGGGUGGUGAGAUCAAAAUCAUCAGCAGAAGAGCUGCUAAAAGCAUCUCAGCUGCCCGAAGCCGCUCUCAUCAUGGACUGUGAUAGAGCUGCAGUGGGUGCUGUACGACAGUUAGAUGUGAAGUGCUCUUCCUCAUGCUUCGGAAGAAGUAAAACUCUUACCAGGUGAUUAGGAAAAGACCAGAUUAGGAUUGAAACAGCCCGUGCCUGCCCUCACUUCUGUGGAAGACAUCCCGGACCAGGCCCACACGUCCUGCCUGUGGGGGCUGCAGGAUCUCACGGCACCGGUGGGGACUGAUCAGAGCCAGUGGAGCCUCAGGGUCAGUGCUGUGGGAUGUUUCAGGAACAGCAUUCCCCAAACUGCUGAGUGCAGCAGUGUUAAUCCUCCUUGCUAUUCUAGCCUGCAUUAGAGGGGCUUUAGGUGCUUUUAUGUUGAGUGCACUUAGCAGUGGCUGUAGGUUCUCCAGCACAGCGCUGAUAAGAGCCGUACAAUCCCCAAAGCAUUACAACAGCAAUCGAAAAGGAGUGUGCAGGUUUCACGGAGCACAGCCAACACUUCAGGGCCCACUUGCAAA